AAUAAGUGUAGUUUUACACUGUUCAUAUCUCACUUUUGACCGUUCAUCUUAUUUGCAAUUUUUUACGAUUAAUAUUUUUAUUAUUAUUGGAUGAUAAAACAUGAAUAAUACUUUAUAUUUGACUAAUUUAUUCUAAUUUUCCCAUAAAUUUUUAAAUAAGAUAGACGGUGAAACGUUGGACACGGAUUUCUAUGGCUGUACGUAUU
rfam:Oryza glaberrima chromosome 7 Oglab07_0019_13, whole genome shotgun sequence.